rnacentral:rRNA from 1 species
GGAAUAUUGGGCGUAAAGCGCGCGCAGGCGGCUAUUUAAGUCUGGUGUUUAAACCUUGGGCUCAACCUGAGGUCGCACUGGAAACUGGGUGGCUUGAGUACAGAAGAGGAAAGUGGAAUUCCACGUGUAGCGGUGAAAUGCGUAGAGAUGUGGAGGAACACCAGUGGCGAAGGCGACUUUCUGGGCUGUAACUGACGCUGAGGCGCGAAAGCGUGGGGAGCAAACAGGAUUAGAUACCC